rnacentral:rRNA from 1 species
CCUACGGGCGGCAGCAGUGAGGAAUAUUGGUCAAUGGACGAGAGUCUGAACCAGCCAAGUAGCGUGAAGGAUGACUGCCCUAUGGGUUGUAAACUUCUUUUAUAUGGGAAUAAAACGUUCCACGUGUGGGAUUUUGUAUGUACCAUAUGAACAAGGAUCGGCUAACUCCGUGCCAGCAGCCGCGGUAAUACGGAGGAUCCGAGCGUUAACCGGAUUUAUUGGGUUUAAGGGGAGCGUAGGUGGAUUGUUAAGUCAGUGGUGAAAGUUUGCGGCUCAACCGUAAAAUUGCAGUUGAAACUGGCAGUCUUGAGUACAGUAGAGGUGGGCGGAAUUCGUGGUGUAGCGGUGAAAUGCUUAGAUAUCACGAAGAACUCCGAUUGCGAAGGCAGUUCACUGGACUGCAACUGACACUGAGGCUCGAAAGUGUGGGUAUCAAACAGGAUUAGAUACCCGUGUAGUC